ensembl:lncRNA
GUUAAAUUCUGCACACUUGUGGAAACAGACAAAACAAACUGCAAAGUGCUUUGUUUUAGAAGUCUUUAUUUUGAAAACCUGUCAAUGAAAAUUAAGUAUCAAUCGUGGCUGGUGGUCAAAUUAUUUGACAUAAUUUUUGACACCUCAGGACCUGUCUUGUUGCAAAGCCGCUUUGCAAUAAUCCAUUUUGUGAACAGGUCUGUUAUUGUCACAAUAUACUUCCUUCCCUUUGCAGAAGUAGGAAGUGGUUCUAUCAAAUCAACUCAUAGAACAGUCCAUGGCUGGGACACUUCAAUUUACCGCAACAGUGGGUCCACUGUUUUAAUUUUCUCUCAGCACUGGUAUUAAGGACAUUCUGCGACCCAUUUCUGAGAGGCCACUAUCUUUUUCACUGUGCUCUGAUACUCAAAAUGUCCACCUGUUCCAAAAUUGUCAUGCCACUCGUAAGAAUCUAAUCCUUCUCCUCUGCAUUCAUAACCAGUACACAUGCACAAUCUCUACUCUUGUAAUAAAGCUGGCUGUUUUCAAACGUGUAGCUAUUGGCUGCUCUGCUAAAGGAGGCCCAAAUUUCCCACUGCUCAGGUCCACCGAUGUCAGGGUGGUGUGUGCCAUUCCUCAUGAAGUGGAGGAUUCAUACUUGUUCUGAUAGCACGCCAUGCUGCAGCAAUGUCAAGAAGUGUGAAAAUGUGCACAUUGACGUCUGGUCACGUGAGACUUCGUCGUCUACUCCAGCAGAACUAUGGGUUUCUAUUGGUGGGUUUGAGUUGGUGGUACACCACCGUUUUCUUAAGCGCGCUCCCAAUAAGCACUCGACUGGAGAGGAGAGAAUGUUACAUAUUGAGCUACAAAAAGGGUCCUCUGGUAUUCAUUUUGACUAGAGCAGCUACGCCCCUGAACCCCUUGAGCUUCGGUUUUCACCUUGACAAAUGAGGACGCGAUACAUCACAAACACAACACGUUCUAUGAUGUACCAUGUAGAUAUGAUAACCCUAGCAGAUAUGAUACCCACACUGAAUGUCCUCCUUCAAAAGAGUGAGGAAGGGAUCCUCUCUCUCUCUUCUCCUCUUUUUCCUUUUCCUCCUCCUCCUCUCUCCCUUUCCAUGACACUUGGGCAGCGCUUGGCCCUGGUUUGUCCUCUUGGAUUGAGGUAAUCAGACUGCUGCCGACUGCGUUAAUGCUUCGUCCAUGAGGGCAAACCAGUGCCAAGUCGCUGACGAGUCCAGACCAAACAGUCCAGACCAAACUUGGCUUGUUGUGAUGGCAAAAUAGAAUUACUAUUUCACUACUAUUGUAUUGUGCUACAUCUAGGCUUAUAC